AGAGUUUGAUCCUGGCUCAGAACGAACGCUGGCGGCAGGCUUAACACAUGCAAGUCGAACGCACCGCAAGGUGAGUGGCAGACGGGUGAGUAACGCGUGGGAACCUACCUAUUGGUUCGGAAUAACUCGGGGAAACUCGAGCUAAUACCGGAUACGCCCUUCGGGGGAAAGAUUUAUUGCCGAUAGAUGGGCCCGCGUUGGAUUAGCUUGUUGGUGAGGUAAUGGCUCACCAAGGCGACGAUCCAUAGCUGGUCUAAGAGGAUGAUCAGCCACACUGGGACUGAGACACGGCCCAGACUCCUACGGGAGGCAGCAGUGGGGAAUAUUGGACAAUGGGCGAAAGCCUGAUCCAGCCAUGCCGCGUGAGUGAUGAAGGCCUUAGGGUUGUAAAGCUCUUUCGCCGGAGAAGAUAAUGACGGUAUCCGGUAAAGAAGCCCCGGCUAACUUCGUGCCAGCCGCCGCGGUAAUUC
rnacentral:rRNA from 1 species